CCAUUUUGUUGAACUUCAGGGUUUUAUCCAUUAGAGUUGGGAGAUUGAAGCUAGCUAGAGUUAAGCAAGAGUAUUGCUGGGAGCUUAACUGAUAAUGGCGGGAUCACAAUCUGCUAGUGUAUCGAAGAAGACAAAGUCGAAGGAAAAACGUUCGAAGCAUAAGAAGACCAAGUCUUUGAAGUCACCAACAACAUCUUCAUUUUCUGAUGGAUCUCACUCAAAGAAGGGAAAGUCCAAAAAGAAAGAAGUUGAACCAACCGGGGGACUAAAGUUGCUGAAGCGGCAUGCGGUGGCUAAGCAAAUGCAAAGCUACAUU